rnacentral:rRNA from 1 species
ACUACGGGAGGCAGCAGUGGGGAAUAUUGGGCAAUGGGCGCAAGCCUGACCCAGCAACGCCGCGUGAAGGAAGAAGGCUUUCGGGUUGUAAACUUCUUUUCUCAGGGACGAAGCAAGUGACGGUACCUGAGGAAUAAGCCACGGCUAACUACGUGCCAGCAGCCGCGGUAAUACGUAGGUGGCAAGCGUUAUCCGGAUUUACUGGGUGUAAAGGGCGUGUAGGCGGGAAAGCAAGUCAGAUGUGAAAACCAUGGGCUCAACCUGUGGCCUGCAUUUGAAACUGUUUUUCUUGAGUACUGGAGAGGCAGACGGAAUUCCUAGUGUAGCGGUGAAAUGCGUAGAUAUUAGGAGGAACACCAGUGGCGAAGGCGGUCUGCUGGACAGCAACUGACGCUGAGGCGCGAAAGCGUGGGGAGCAAACAGGAUUAGAUACCCUUGUAGUC